UACGUAGGGGGCAAGCGUUGUCCGGAUUUAUUGGGCGUAAAGAGCGUGUAGGCGGCCUGACAGGUCUGCUGUGAAAACUCGAGGCUCAACCUCGAGAUGUCGGCGGAAACCGUCUGGCUAGAGUCCGGAAGAGGAGAGUGGAAUUCCUGGUGUAGCGGUGAAAUGCGCAGAUAUCAGGAAAGACACCUAUGGCGAAGGCAGCUCUCUGGGACGGUACUGACGCUGAGACGCGAAAGCGUGGGGAGCGAACAGG
rnacentral:rRNA from 1 species